UCACUGCACAAUCCGCUUCCUCCCGCUACACGCCCCCUAUAUAAGGGUUACUGUCCCCAAGCAGCAGCACCAGCGGCACCACUACCAGCAGAAAAAACAAUUUCAUCCAUUCUCUCAAAUGGCUGAUGAAGCGAACAAAACGGCAUUUCUAGAGCUACAGGGCCGCAUGAUAGAGACCACAGGAAAAUUGAAGCAGGUGCAAAAUCAGAUGCGCAAUAAAGAAGGAGAAAAGAAACGUGCCUUCCUAACAUUAGAGGAAUUGCGGCAGUUAGCAGACGACACAAAUACAUACAAAUCUAUUGGGAAAGCGUGAGUCCCAGAUCUCCCUCUCUGCGAUUGGAGCAACCCCACUGAAAGAGAUUCAAUCUAUUUUUAUUUUUUAAAAAAAUCAAUUUAAAUGGGACAAUUAUUCAUAAUUUGAUUAGAAUUUAUUUCUUUUCUUCAUGGCUAGGUUUGUUUUGGAGCCAAAAUCGGUCCUUGUGAAUGAGCAGGAGCAGAAGCUGAAGGAUAGUGAGGCUGCUAUAGCUUCAUUGCUGACAUCGAAAGAGUAUUUGGAGAAGCAAAUGACAGAGGUAGAGAACAAUCUUAGAGAGUUACUACAGCAAGAUCCAGGAAUCGCCCAUCAGAUAAUGUCCAUAUCGGAUAACAUUUCUGCUGGCACGUGACACGUGUAUGGUGGCGAGGACAGACCAUCUUGCAGGCAUCAGAUACAUACAAACCAAAAGAAACGUUGCACUGAGGACUGAUUGCUUGAGUUAUAUGAACGAAUGAUCUCCUACAACCAUAGCAUUCUAAGUUUGCCAUGCUACUGUAUUUUCCGCCCUUGAUCACAUGUAAGAAAAAACUGAGUCGUGCAAUCGGGGGGCCGCAUCAUGAUGAACACCUGGUGUGGAGACCAGGCCAAUCUACUCAUCAGGUCAGCCACCCCUCUGAUUUGGGUCAGUGCGUCAACCUGAAUGAGUAGAUCACCCGGAUUUUCACACCAAGUGAACUUCAUGAUGGAGGCCCCCCUUUUGCAUGACUGAGAAGUCUUACACGUGACAUGUUUGGCAGGCAAACCAUGUAGCGUGGUAAGCUUAGAAGCUUAGCGUGCUAUAACUAUGUGAUAUGGAAAACCAUCAACGUCCUAUAGAAAUGUAGAAAUGGACAGCUCUUAAUUCGAAAAUAAUUUUGCUGUUUGUUUGGAUUUUA